AGGGCGGGUCCUAAGCGAAGCGUAUUCAAUGACGUCGUGGUUUGACUGUUUGAUAAAUAGAUCAGUCUUGAAAGAAAGUAUACAAUAUAUAAAAUAAUAUAUAUAUUAAAUUUGCUUAUUUAAAAAAAACAUCUUGCCGUUAAUGAGAGAAAACUGACAUUGUUGCCUUUGAUGGGUAUUUAAUUCAGACAAGGACUGUAGGUUACAAAGGUCAAAGCUCUAAAACGGUGUGCAGACAGUGACAAAUCGCUCUGAAGUUGCACCCAAGUUCAAACGUGAAUAACAGAAAUUUUUAAAUGAAAUUCCCAUGGAUGAUCGUCUCUGCUGCCCUGUGAGAAUUAGAACAAUUUGUAGGCGAUGAGCUAAAAUGUGUAUGAAAAAUUAAAAUCACAUCUAACCUUGCUCCGUUUCGGCGUCAUUUGAUUGUUCUGUUGUGAUGUUUCUGGAGCCUGCAGCCUGCUCUCAUCGACACUGCCUUCUCUCUUUACCCAUGAGAUAAAAACGCAAUUAUCUAGCGCGAUCCUGAGAUGCUUCGUUACCCUCAUGGUGGAAAUACAGUUCAUAGCAUCCCUGAAAGCUUACAAAAUCAU